rnacentral:rRNA from 1 species
GGUGCACCAGGCGCGAAAACUUUACAAUGCGGGAAACCGUGAUAAGGGAACUCCGAGUGCCCGUAAAAUCGGGCUGUCCAUCUGUUUAAAUAACAGGUGAAGAAAGGGCCGGGCAAGACCGGUGCCAGCCGCCGCGGUAAUACCGGCGGCUCGAGUGGUGGCCACUAUUACUGGGCUUAAAGCGUUCGUAGCUGGUCUGUUAAGUCUCUGGGGAAAUCUACUGGCUUAACCAAUAGGCGUUUCAGGGAUACUGGCAGACUAGGGACCGGGAGAGGUGAGAGGUACUCCAGGGGUAGGAGUGAAAUCCUGUAAUCCUUGGGGGACCACCUGUGGCGAAGGCGUCUCACCAGAACGGCUCCGACAGUGAGGGACGAAAGCUGGGGGAGCAAACCGGAUUAGAUACCCGGGUAGUCCCAGCCGUAAACGAUGCGCGUUAGGUGUAUCGGUGACCACGAGUCACCGAGGUGCCGAAGAGAAAUCGUGAAACGUGCCGCCUGGGAAGUACGGUCGCAAGGCUGAAACUUAAAGGAAUUGGCGGGGGAGCACAAGGGCGAAUCGCG